GUGAAUCAUCGAAUUUUUGAACGCAAAUUGCACUCUCUUCGGAGAGUAUGCCUGUUUGAGGGUCAGCCUAAAAAAAAUCGACGUAGUCGCUGUUUCGCGGUGACAUUCGUCGGAAAUUGGGCCAUCUUAAACCUUUGGGGUUUUUAAGCGGCUUAAAUUUUCCUUUACGAUCCAUCGACCGUUCUUAGGUUUUUACUUUUUAACCA
rnacentral:misc_RNA from 1 species